CUCCCCAGUACAAUGUUCAGGAGGAGCCAUUUUAAAGAACAAAAUUGUCAACAAAAACCCUGAAGAAAAUCCCAAAAUGUAGCACUAACCAGAUCAUGAAAGGAACAUUUGUUUACAAUAGAAGAUCUGAAGCAAGAAGGCAGAGUGUUAUUACCCUGUUCAACCUCAGCUGGAAGCAUGCAUGUGGAGUAACUUUGAACAUGUCCGAAACACGGAAAGAGGAAAGAACAUAUCUAAAACUUUUAAAAAUGAGUGAAGAAGAGAGAGGUGAAUGAAUGUGAGAACCUGAAAAAGAGGAAAAUGAAGCAUGAACCAGAAGCUCCGUCUGGUUUGUUAUGGAAACUUAAGGGAAGAGAUAUUUCUCAUGGAAUGCUCUGAGCUCAGGAACCCCUAACCCCAGAUGGAAACCUCAAAGAUCUACACGCACACCUAAUGUGGAUGAGAGAUAAUGAACUGAAAUAUUGGAGCCUAUUGCCAUUUUCUCAAGCAAGAAAUAAGAGAAUUGUAUAAAUUGGAAAGCAUGGCCAUUUAAAAAAAAGAUAUAAUGAUGAAAUAUUUAACCACUCCGAGAGGACAAGUUUGCCUUACUCUUCCCUCUGCCCUUUUCCUGGCUCAAUGUCUGGUGGUAAAAGACUAUCAAACUGAUAGUCACUAUCAAAUAGAUCAGUGUUGGAUGAAUGUAAAAGUGAAUAAAAGCAUUUCAUAAAAUCUC